GACGAACGCUGGCGGCGUGCUUAACACAUGCAAGUCGAACGGAAAGGCCCUGCUUUUGUUGGGUGCUCGAGUGGCGAACGGGUGAGUAACACGUGAGUAACCUGCCCUUGACUUUGGGAUAACUUCAGGAAACUGGGGCUAAUACCGGAUAGGAGCUCCUGCUGCAUGGUGGGGGUUGGAAAGGGUCGGCGGUUGGGGAUGGACGCGCGGCUUGUCAGCUUGUUGGUGGGGUAGUGGCUUACCAAGGCUUUGACGGGUAGCCGGCCUGGGCGGGUGACCGGCCACAUUGGGACUGAGAUGCGGCCCAGACUCCUACGGGAGGCAGCAGUGGGGAAUAUUGCACAAUGGGCGGAAGCCUGAUGCAGCAACGCCGCGUGCGGGAUGACGGCCUUCGGGUUGUAAACCGCUUUCGCCUGUGACGAAGCGUGAGUGACGGUAAUGGGUAAAGAAGCACCGGCUAACUACGUG
rnacentral:rRNA from 1 species